GGCUUGUAAAUCUUCAAGAUGGUCGGUCUGGCCGUUACCAUGACUUCCACCCCGUGAAGGGUAUACAGAAGUUUUCUUCUCCAAUCCCCAAACUUCCAAUCCUG